rnacentral:rRNA from 1 species
AUGCACGCUGGCGGCGUGCCUAAUACAUGCAAGUCGAGCGAACGGACGAGAAGCUUGCUUCUCUGAUGUUAGCGGCGGACGGGUGAGUAACACGUGGAUAACCUACCUAUAAGACUGGGAUAACUUCGGGAAACCGUAGCUAAUACCGGAUAAUAUUUUGAACCGCAUGGUUCAAAAGUGAAAGACGGUCUUGCUGUCACUUAUAGAUGGAUCCGCGCUGCAUUAGCUAGUUGGUAAGGUAACGGCUUACCAAGGCAACGAUGCAUAGCCGACCUGAGAGGGUGAUCGGCCACACUGGAACUGAGACACGGUCCAGACUCCUACGGGAGGCAGCAGUAGGGAAUCUUCCGCAAAGGGCGAAAGCCUGACGGAGCAACACCGCGUGAGUGAUGAAGGUCUUCGGAUCGUAAAACUCUGUUAUUAGGGAAGAACAUAUGUGUAAGUAACUGUGCACAUCUUGACGGUACCUAAUCAGAAAGCCACGGCUAACUACGUG